GCCUGAUUUCAAAUGUAUCAGCUGUUCUGUGACUGUCAUUCACAUCAUAUUUUUGAUGUCCAGCAUAUACUUAGUCCUUUGUGAGCCCUUCAGCAGUUUCAGUUGGUUAGGGACAAGAUUAUGGCAGAACAAAUUACUCCUUUCCCGGUGGCAGAGGACGGGUUUGGUACCAUUUCACAUGGGAAAGCCGGAAAAAGGAAGAGAUUAACGUCUGUUAGACAGGUCACAGAUUCACUUGGCAGGGAAGGAUGAACCACAGGGACCUUCUUGGGAUCGUGCCAGCAGCUGUGAGAGUUACAGCUAUGCACCUUCUCAUGCAGACCGUUUGUAACCUGGGGAUUUGCACACCGUAACGAAGCCCCUGCUUUGCCCAGCACAGUGUGACGCCUGCAGCACUUGACCUGUGUGUGCUGCUGAGGGAUGGUUCCCGACAGCUCUGCUCCGCUGGCUCUGCAGAACGACUUCUCUGAAGGGUGUGAAAGCUGCGGCUCGCUGCGCUCGAGCAGAUGGCAGCGUUUCUGAGCUGGCCGGUUUCUGGAGGAGGUGGUGGUAGGAAACCAAACCAUUAAACGCAGCCGCAGCAAACUGCUGAGUCAA